UACGUAGGGUGCAAGCGUUGUCCGGAAUCAUUGGGCGUAAAGCGCGUGUAGGCGGUCCGGUAAGUCCGCUGUGAAAGUCGGGGGCUCAACCCUCGAAUGCCGGUGGAUACUGUCGGGCUAGAGUGCGGAAGAGGCGAGUGGAAUUCCUGGUGUAGCGGUGAAAUGCGCAGAUAUCAGGAGGAACACCAAUUGCGAAGGCAGCUCGCUGGGACGUAACUGACGCUGAGACGCGAAAGCGUGGGGAGCAAACAGG
rnacentral:rRNA from 1 species